GGGAGUGUCACUCAGUGGUAGAGCAUAUGCUUAGCAUGUGUGAGACCCUGGGUUCAAUCCCCAACACGACCA
rnacentral:tRNA from 1 species